rnacentral:tRNA from 1 species
ACGGGGAUAGCUCAGCUGGUAGAGCAAGUGCUUCGGGAGCAUUAGGUCGGAGGUUCAAGUCCUUCUCCCCGUU